rnacentral:tRNA from 1 species
GGGUGGUUAACUCAGAUGGUAGAGUGCCUGCCUUACAAGCAGGUUGUCGGCGGUUCGAUCCCGUCACCACCCACCA